UCAGGAUGAACGCUGGCGGCGUGCUUAACACAUGCAAGUCGAACGGACUGUCCAAUUGGAAGCGAAGAUGCUGCAUCGAGCUCCGCCGGGCAAGUAGUGGCGGACGGGUGAGUAACGCGUGGAGAACCUGCCUUUAUCUGGGGGAUAACAGUUAGAAAUGACUGCUAAUACCGCAUAAGCGCACACUGGGGCAUCCCAGAGUGUGAAAAAACUCCGGUGGAUAGAGAUGGCUCCGCGUCAGAUUAGCCAGUUGGCGGGGUAACGGCCCACCAAAGCGACGAUCUGUAGCCGGCCUGAGAGGGCGACCGGCCACAUUGGGACUGAGACACGGCCCAAACUCCUACGGGAGGCAGCAGUGGGGAAUAUUGCACAAUGGGGGAAACCCUGAUGCAAGCGACGCCGCGUGAGUGAUGACGUAUUUCGGUAUGUAAAGCUCUAUCAGCAGGGAAGAAAAUGACGGUACCUGACUAAGAAGCCCCGGCUAACUACGUGCCAGCAGCCGC
rnacentral:rRNA from 1 species